rnacentral:lncRNA from 1 species
CUGACAAAGCAAAAUACUCAUUGACUUAAAUUCCCCCGAAACACGUUUCUCGCCCUCUCAUGGAGUCGAAGUCCUUCGGCCUCUGAGAAGACUCUUUGAGAUCUGCUCUCCGGACGAAAAAUAGAUUGAUUCAUACACGUCAUCUGCCUAAGUGCUAAGGAAAAGAAAUAAACAUACUGUGAGUUUCCUAUAUCAUCUUCCCACUAAUUUAACUACAUAAAGUGAAAUCAAUAAAGAUAUAUGGGAAACACCUGCAGGGUUUAGAAUAAAAAAUUAUGUCAGCUUC